rnacentral:tRNA from 2 species
GCCCAAGUGGUGGAAUGGUAGACGCCGUAGACUCAAAAUCUACUGCCCAAAAGGCGUGCAGGUUCAAGUCCUGUCUUGGGCA